GGACAUUCUGUACACCACUCAGCUGAUCCCUCAGUCCAUUUGGAUUUGUCCUAACAAUCAGCACUUUAUGGCUGAAAGGGCCCAAGACAACCAUUGCCUUCACUUUCCGCUACCCUUCAGAGUGACCCCAGCAUAUUGCCAGAGGCUCCUUGGACCUUUCAAGGACACCAGGAUGAGGCAAGAAGCCAAGAGGAUUCCUCCCAGCCUUAUAUAAUGGACGUCUUGAACCCGGCUCCUCAAACUAAGCAGCGUGUUCCUGACCAGAGCUUGAGCAACUAAUACUGAUCUGCCCUGAAAGCCUGCCGUCUCUCAGCUGUCAGCCUUCAAAAGCAAAAAGGCUUCAUACAAGAAGGUUUUCCAAUGGGGCAGAGCUUGUUUCUUGAGAACCGCGGCCAACGUUUGGUUCAGGUCUGGCUACUUACGUUCUGCGUUCUGCUUUGCUUCAGGACUGGAGGUAAGUAUGGUCCCCACUUCCUGUCCUUGAACAGGUGAAGCAAGAAUAAACCACUCUUCUACAUAGAUUAAAUCUAGGAGCAACUGGUGGGGAUGUACUUUUGCAAGAGUGGAAUACAUGCCUCCUAAAGUGGGGACGUGAUAGUUCAGUGUUAGAGCUCUUGCCUUCCGUGAAGAAAGCCCCAAGUUAAUCCCUUACCUACCAUCUCCAGUUGAACGUUGCAGUGAGAAGAGUGUGGAGUAUCCUGAUAAUGGGGCAAAAUAGACAAGGCAGUUCCCUGUGUUUGUAGAAGUGAAUCAAAUCACCCACCUCUUGUUGCAUAUGUAUAGCUGGAGAGAUUUAGGGCUCAUGCACACUGCUGCUCAUCCUGUGCUUUUGAGGCAAGGGCCAAGGGGUUUUCCAUUUCCCCCCACCACUUUCUUCAGGAAAACUCGCUACUUUCAGCUGAAUCCAUACAAACGUCAAUCCACAGAAAACCCGACUGACGAUUGCUUCGAUUCAGAGUGUGCCAUCUUCAAGAAAGAAGGUCCAUCUGUCUAGGUGGAAGGUGUCGCUAGUCUCGGGGCACAGGAGCCUGCCAUAAAUUUGCAUACAAUUUCCAUAUCCUAUGCUAUAUACAGAGAUGCAAAUAUAGUCUGACUUUCCAAGAGAAAAAGAAUUGUGCUAUUGCUGUUGUGGGACCUAUUCUGACAGCUAUGUGGGCCAACAGGAUUUUGGUGGGUUAGGUCAUUGAAGAUUGACGCGUCCCUCCUCAAAUGAAAUGAUGUCUCUUACAACAGAUGCUGUGAAAUGCAGAAUCUGCAAUCCAGGUGAUGUGAAGUUUUGCAGAAACCAUGAUGUGACAUGUGAGGGAUCAUAUUGUAUGAAGAUAGAAAGCUUUUCGGGUAAGGAAUGUUUCCUGUUGACAUUCCUCCUUUUUCUAUGCUACGCUUCAAUGUAGAAAACAAAGCCUUGUAUUCCAUAUUUACUACUCUGCAGAGUAUAAACAAAGCUUCCCCUUUUGGCCACAGUAGAUGCCCGUGCAUUCCCUUAGUUGCGUGGCGAGUUCCCGCUUCCCCCCACUGGAAAUAAAGACACGUGACACCAUGAUUUAAGUUAAUGGGUGAAAAUCGGCCACAACUUUAUUGGUUACAGAAAUGAGCGGUAUUGGCUUAGGCAUUAGUCCUAUUGACUAUCCAGCUUCAGCCCGAAUGCAUGAAGACCGGAAAGGGUUAACUGCCAGAAGGGGGAGUCCUGCUGAUGCACAUCAACUAGGAGCUCCCCUGGGGUCACUGCUCGGGGGCGUGCCUUAGGCCCACACCUCCAUAGGCUUUGGACAGGGCAACGCCCCCCGGAAUGCUUGACCUGACUACCCUUCGGUGUGGGGGAAGGUGAUGGCGCUUCCUCCACUCCCUCUCAUCUACAUAACAAUACCCUUACCAAUGCCUAACUGCCAAUGCCAAGGAGUUGUGACGAUUUGCUACGAGGUAGGUGAAAAACCAAAUGGCUGGAGCCAAUUUGCCAAGUGGAAAAAAUUCCUACCAGGCCCCUUGACGGCGACCAACCGAAGUUCACAGCAAUCUCAAAGAGCCUGCCUGAAGGGUGGGAGGGAUAGGAAACCGGAUCAGCUGGAGCAACGAAAGAGGAAGAUCCUCGGCCAUGCCAGCCCUAAACAGUGCAGGCCAGGCCUCCCAAGUCAGCCGAUUGGCUGGCAAGGGAGAUGACGCGGCCGAGGAUUCCCCCGUGCACAUGGGGGAGGGCGUGAAGCCCGCAACCCCACCUCCUCUCCAGCUCAGAAGUGGCUUUGUUAAUUUUUUGGUAAGUAUUCUGUGGCAUAUUAUCAGCAGCACAGCUUCCCAGAGACAGCAACAAUGAUCACAUGGUUCCAACACUUUUUGAAAUGGUGUGGCCCUUGCCAAGCUCUGACAAGAAGAAGAAGAAGAGUUGGGAUUUAAUAUCCCGCUUUAUCACUACCCUAAUAAUAAUAAUAAUAAUAAUAAUAAUAAUUUAUUAUUUAUACCCUGCCCAUCUGGCUGGGUUUCCCCAGCCACUCUGGGCGGCUUCCAACUGAAUAUUAAAAACAAUACAGCAUCAAACAUUAAAAACUUCCCUAAAGAGGGCUGCCUUCAGUUGUCUUUUAAAAGUAAAAUAGUUGUUUAUUGCUUUGACAUCUGCUGGGAGGGCGUUCCACAGGGCAGGCGCCACUACCGAGAAGGCCCUCUGCCUGGUCCCCUGUAACCUUACUUCUCGCAAUUAGGGAACCGCCAGAAGGCCCUCGGCGCUGGAUCUCAGUGUCCGGGCUGAACGAUGGGGGUGGAGACGCUCCUUCAGGUAUACAGGACCGAGGCCGUUUAGGGCUUUAAAGGUCAGCACCAACACUUUGAAUUGUGCUUGGAAACGUACUGGGAGCCAAUGCAGAUCUCUCAGAACCGGUGUUAUGUGGUCCCGGCGGCCACUCCCAGCCACCAGUCUAGCUGCCGCAUUCUGGAUUAAUUGCAGUUUCCGGGUCACCUUCAAAGGUAGCCCCACGUAGAGCGCGUUGCAGUAGUCCAAGCGGGAGAUAACUAGAGCAUGCACCACUCUGGCAAGACAGUCCGCGGGCAGGUAGGGUCUUAGCCUGCGUACCAGGUGGAGCUGGUAGACAGCUGCCCUGGACACAGAAUUAACCUGUACCUCCAUGGACAGCUGUGCGUCCAAAAUGACUCCCAGGCUGCACACCUGGUCCUUCAGGGGCAUAGUUACCCCAUUCAGGACCAGGGAAUCCCCCACACCCGCCCGCCCCCUGUCGCCCCAAAACAGUACUUCUGUCUUGUCAGGAUUCAACCUCAAUCCAUUAGCCACCAUCCAUCCUCCAACUGCCUCCAGACACUCACACAGGAGCUUCACCGCCUUCACUGGUUCUGAUUUGAAAGAGAGGUAGAGCUGAGUAUCAUCUGCAUAUUGAUGGACACCCAGUCCAAACCCCCUGAUGAUCUCUCCCAGCGGCUUCAUAGUUUGCAUGGUUAAGUUAAAGCUCAUAGUAAUGGUCCAAAAGGGCAAUGAAGUACCCUACUUAUAGAUAAAAGGGGCAUAUUUCUUAUAUUAUAUACUGGAGCAAUCAAAAUCAAGAAAAUGGGACAACUUAUGUAUUGUAAUGUUUUGCUGUUCCUGUUCUUGUGGAUUCAUGAUGUGGUAAAACUAAAUUAAAAAUGGAUAAGAGAGUGAGGGUCUGAGGUAGUAUUCAACUAGGUUUUACUCAGAAAUACUGAAUGUAUAAACAUGACUAAGUUAGACCCACUAAUUUCAGUCACUAUACUCUGAGUAAAGAUUCGUUGAAGGCUGCCACAGAUAUCAUGUAACCUUGAGCAAAUAAAGAUGAAUGUUCAAUAAAUGGAAUCGCCUCAAGUUUCACUAGGGAACAAUAAAUCUGCUACUGUACAACAAUUCAGAUUUUCCGGACAGGCUCUGAAUUCACUUAGUAAUGAACAAAGCGGUCAAUGAACAAAUGACAAGACUUUCCUUUCCUUGUCAAACACUGUGCACCACUCGGCAGGUGGAAAGUAUCAGCAGCGACAUGAUAAAUACUGGACAUUUCCAAUUAAAAUAGAGUAUUAGAAAGCUUUUCCCCAACUCCAUUUUGAACACAUGGGUUCAACUGUGCAGCUGGGGAGAUUCAUGGACAUAUCACAGCAAGACAGACUGGGCAACUGUGGGGCAGCAGUACUGGAAGAUCUUCCCGGCCUUGGAUGCCAGCUAUAUUUUUGUAUUAAAUUGCAUUGCAUAUAGAGACCUUGCUUAAGAACAGGGCUUUUUUCCAGCCAGAACUUGCCGGAACUCAGUUCCGACACCUCUCAGAUAGUCGCCAUUGCCAUUCUAAGACAACAAGAGAGGAGUUCAUGGUGAGUUCCUGCACCUCUUUUUCUAGAAAAAUUGGACUACUUAAGAAGAUGAAAUGUUGGAGAGGGACAGGAAAAGUAAGGUUACUGUUACAGGAAGUUAAUGGGAAUGUCGCUUGGAAAGUGGUCCAUUUUGCAGUAAAGACUUCCAGUCUGAGGGAAAGGUAUUCGGGAUCUAUCCUAGACAACAGUGGUGGAGAUUAUUAUAUUUGUUUCUUUUAUUUGGACAUGUAUCUUUCACAUGCUUUAAUUUUAUUCUGUUUUUAUGUUGACAUUUUAGCAGAAUAAUUUCAAAGUUCUGUUUUGGGCAGGCAUAGGCAAACUCGGCCCUCCAGGUGUUUUGGGACUACAACUCCCAUGAUCCCUAGCUGACAGGACCAGUGGUCAGGGAUGAUGGGAAUUGUAGUCCCAAAACAUCUGGAGGGCCGAGUUUGCCUAUGCCUGGUUUUGAGUUUACUUAUAAAGAUUGAGUUUAAAAUGUAAAAUAUAUAUUUCUGUGGAGAAUAAGCUUCGCCUUCUCUUUUGGAACAGACUAUGUUCUUAUUCAAUAAAAUUCCCUUCAUUCACUAGUUAAUCUCAAAACUUUCUCUCUCCAGGUACAACUGGUGAAUUGCUUUCAGUCUUCACACACUGUGGCACUGAACGUUUGAAAGAGAAAUGUGGACAGGAAGCAAAGGUCAAGG